UUUUUCAUUUAAGGCAAAUAGAUUUUAAUGUCAUUGUCAAUGUAAUUCUACGCUUGAUAAAUAUAAAAGUAAUGGCUGACACACACACACAAUGAGACAACUCCAAAACAAAGACAUGGGGAGAUAAGUAUAUUAAUUACGCUUCACAAACCUGGGUUACUUCAAGCAAAGCUAGAGGGUAGAUUGCGAUACCAUCAGAGUUUCCCAUGAUGCUGCAACAGUUUGUGGAUUUUGAAACCCAUAGUUUUUCAAUCAAUCAUUAAAACAAAAUAUUUAUUUGUAAUAUGUUUAAAAAGAAUAAUUUAAAAUAUUAAUUACUAAUAUAUUAAAUCAUUAUGUAUUAAGAA